CCUGGCCCGGCCGACCUCGCUCCUUCUACUUGGCCCCUUGCCUCACGUGGUCACGUGUAGGCCCUCGUCAGCAACUGCAGACCAUCCGCCAAGCUCCAAAGCACAGAGAUAUCUGAACUUCCCAAUUACCAACGAGCCACACUGUAUUCCUUGAUUGGCUCCCAAAUCUGACUCUACACACCAACAUGAACCAUAAGCAAGUUGAGUUGGGUCUCUACUGUAGGCAUACUCCCUUCUUCUUCUGCCUAGCACAAAAGUAUUUGGGGUCCAAAGAUAAGGACAGAAAGGUAGUUUUAGCCACAGGAAUGCCUGCCCCCAUACCCUUUAUGAUUCCUCUGUUCAAAUCUAUCACCUGACGCCCUUGCCCCAAACUCUCAAACACUCUGACCUCCAGGGGCCAAGCUGACCCCCUGCGCUGCUGAGCCUUGAUGGUCUCUGCUGUCCAUCCCCCAAAGCUGGACAGGGAGAGGCUGAGACUGCAGGCCUUGGUCAGUAGUUUGAGACCAGCUUCAACAUUUACCAUCUGGCCAGGGAUGUGUACUGUGCCCUAAACCAAGACCCAGUUUGUCCCAGUUUGUCCAAGAUUUCCCUGGUUUUAGUUCCUUAUCCCAGGAGCCUGCCUGCCAAAUCUGGAAGACUGGUUAUCCCACUGGAGAACCCAGCCUGCUUUCCUCCGCUAGGCAACCUAAUGGAGUCACACAAGAUGGAGCCACCCCUUCCCAGCCAGCUACAAGGAGAGCUACGAGGUGUGGAAUCAGCCCAGUGGAAACGCUCUAUGCGACACAGAUCAUGUGCCUCCCGCAUGCAAACAAACAAAGAAAUAUGUGAAUAUUCCAGAAAAAAAGAAAAACACCCAAACGACCGCUUUUGGCAUAGCCGUGGGUCCUGGACUGCACAGCCAGCAGUGGCCGCUAAAAUUCCCUAAUGGCAACGUGCGCCGUGGGCUGCUGGCGUUCCCUUUCCCCGCCAGGUUCGGUUCCAAAUUAGCUGGUUGAAGGUAACUGCUUGUUUGCUUGCUCGGGGCCUUAAGACACGUUUGAGAAGUCUGCUUAGAGAUGAAGGCCAAGUUCAAAACCAGCCCAGGGAGUGGCUCCCACGAGGGUGUGCGUCCCUCUGCUGGGAUGGUCUCUCCAUCUGCAUCUACCUAAGCUAAUGACACGCUUUAGCUCUUUAUUUUCCCCUCCUCACUUUUGCAGAAAGACGUUUUUAAUUUAGCUGAAGAAUUACACAAAUGUAUUUUAAAGACAUAAAUCCAUAUAAAAAAUAUGAGCUAAUUAAAACAUU